rnacentral:rRNA from 1 species
AGGGCGCACGGUGGAUGCCUAGGUGCCAGGAGCCGAUGAAGGACGGAGCGAACACCGAUAUGCUUCGGGGAGCCGUAAGCAGGCUGAUCCGAGGAUUUCCGAAUGGGGAAACCCACUCUCUUUCAUAGGAGAGUACCCGUUGCUGAACACAUAGGCAACGCGGAGGCAACCAGGGGAACUGAAACAUCUUAGUACCCUGAGGAAGAGAAAGAAAACUCGAUUUCCUGAGUAGCGGCGAGCGAAACGGAAGUAGCCCAAACCUCGAGGUUUACCUCGAGGGGUUGUGGGGCGUCUCACAUGGAGUAAGAAAUGACUGGGAUAGACGAAGCGGUCUGGAAAGGCCCAUCAGAGAAGGUAACAAUCCUGUAGUCGACAUUUUAGUCACUCCGAGGCGAACCCCGAGUACUGCGGGGCACGUGAAACCCCGUGGGAAUCCGGGAGGACCACCUCCCAAGGCUAAAUACUCCCUGGCGACCGAUAGUGAACCAGUACCGUGAGGGAAAGGUGAAAAGCACCCCGGAAGGGGAGUGAAAGAGUACCUGAAACCGUGUGCCUACAAGCAGUCGGAGCAUCCGUAGAGAUGUGACGGCGUACCUUUUGUAGAAUGGGCCGGCGAGUGACGGCGUGUAGCGAGGUUAAGCCGUAUGAGGCGGAGCCGCAGCGAAAGCGAGUCUGAAGAGGGCGAUCUAAGUUGCACGCCGUCGACCCGAAACCGAGUGAUCUACCCAUGUCCAGGGUGAAGGUGCGGUAACACGCACUGGAGGCCCGAACCCACGUAUGUUGAAAAAUGCGGGGAUGAGGUGUGGGUAGGGGUGAAAUGCCAAUCGAACUCGGAGAUAGCUGGUUCUCCCCGAAAUAGCUUUAGGGCUAGCCUCAAGGAUAAAACGUGGAGGUAGAGCACUGAUUGGGCGAGGGGCCCUCACCGGGUUACCGAACUCAGUCAAACUCCGAAUGCCACAGUUUUCGACCUUGGGAGUCAGACGUUGGGUGCUAAGAUCCAUCGUCGAGAGGGAAACAGCCCAGACCAUCAGCUAAGGUCCCUAAGUAUCCGUUAAGUGGGAAAGGAUGUGGCGUUGCUUAGACAACCAGGAUGUUGGCUUAGAAGCAGCCAUCAUUUAAAGAGUGCGUAAUAGCUCACUGGUCAAGUGACGUCGCGCCGAAAAUGUACCGGGGCUAAACGGAUCACCGAAGCUAUGGAUGCAAGGAUCUACCUUGCGUGGUAGGGGAGCGUACCUUGCGCAUAGAAGCAGACGCGAAAGCGUCGGUGGAGUGCAAGGCAGUGAGAAUGCCGGUAUGAGUAGCGAAAAGAGAGGUGAGAAUCCUCUCCGUCGAAAGCCUAAGGUUUCCUGAGCAAGGCUCGUCCGCUCAGGGUUAGUCGGGGCCUAAGCCGAGGCUGAAAAGCGUAGGCGAUGGACAACAGGUUGAUAUUCCUGUACCGCCGACCUUCGAUUGAGCGAAGGGGGGACGCAGGAGGGUAAGGGAGCAGACUGAUGGAGUUCUGUCCGGAAGGCGAGAGGGUAAACGGAGGCAAAUCCCCGUUUACGCAUACCUUGAGCCGACGGUUAAGUGAAGAUUGCAGUAGCGAAAUCCCUGAUCUCACACUGACGAGAAAAGCCUCUAGCGAGAAGGUUGUGCGCCCGUACCGCAAACCGACACAGGUAGGCGAGGAGAGAAUCCUAAGACGCUCGGGAGAACUCUCGUUAAGGAACUCGGCAAAAUCGCCCCGUAACUUCGGGAGAAGGGGUGCCCCGUUAAGGUGAAUAGCCUGAGGGGGUCGCAGUGAAGAGGUCCAAGCGACUGUUUAGCAAAAACACAGGUCUAUGCGAAGCCGUAAGGCGAAGUACAUGGGCUGACGCCUGCCCAGUGCUGGAAGGUUAAGGGGAAGGGUUAGCUGACGAUUCGUUAGCAACGCUCUGAACUGAAGCCCCAGUGAACGGCGGCCGUAACUAUAACGGUCCUAAGGUAGCGAAAUUCCUUGUCGGGUAAGUUCCGACCCGCACGAAAGGCGCAACGACUUGGACGCUGUCUCAACGAGAGACCCGGUGAAAUUGUAGUACCAGUGAAGAUGCUGGUUACCCGCGACAAGACGGAAAGACCCCGUGGAGCUUUACUGUAGCCUGAUAUUGAAUUUGGCGGUGGUUUGUACAGGAUAGGUGGGAGCCAUAGAAGCCGGUUCGCUAGGAUCGGUGGAGGCACUGUUGGGAUACCACCCUGAUCAUCGUUAAGUUCUAACCGACUACCGUUAUCCGGUAGCGGGACCGUGUCAGGUAGGCAGUUUGACUGGGGCGGUCGCCUCCUAAAGAGUAACGGAGGCGCUCCAAGGUUCCCUCAGCGCGGUUGGAAAUCGCGUGUAAGCGUGCAAAGGCAGAAGGGAGCUUGACUGCGAGACCUACAAGUCGAGCAGGGACGAAAGUCGGACUUAGUGAUCCGGUGGUACCGAGUGGAAGGGCCAUCGCUCAACGGAUAAAAGCUACCCCGGGGAUAACAGGCUAAUCUCCCCCAAGAGUCCACAUCGACGGGGAGGUUUGGCACCUCGAUGUCGGCUCAUCGCAUCCUGGGGCUGAAGUCGGUCCCAAGGGUUGGGCUGUUCGCCCAUUAAAGCGGUACGCGAGCUGGGUUCAGAACGUCGUGAGACAGUUCGGUCCCUAUCUGUCGCGGGCGUAGGAAAUUUGCAGAGGAUCUGUCCUUAGUACGAGAGGACCGGGAUGGACACACCGCUGGUGUACCAGUUGUUCCGCCAGGAGCACCGCUGGGUAGCCAAGUGUGGCCGGGAUAAGCGCUGAAAGCAUCUAAGCGUGAAGCCCCCCUCAAGAUAAGAUUUCCCAUGAGACCCCUUGU